rnacentral:lncRNA from 1 species
GUAGCAAGAGGUCAGGAACCUCAGGGGAGUUUGGGAGCUUGCUGACUCACUCAUGACAUAUUUACUAGCUUUGUGGGAGAUGCUGUUGGCUUUCAUUUAGGAGAGUCAAUGGUCCUUUCAAUGAGGAGGCCCAACAAGAGGGAGUGUUGUAUAUCCAGUUGCUGAGACUUUCCAGUGGCCCUUAGGGAUCAGAGCAUCAAGCAGACCAGCGGUAGGUGACCAGAGAAGGGUGGCAGAGACUGAAAAAUGGAAAUCUCCCUGGAUGCCUUGGAUGAAGUCCCGUUCUACAGACGGAGCAAGAUCCCGCUAAGUUCGCGCAGGCGCUGAGGGGCAAGGGAGGACUCUCCAGCCUCAGGUCUCCCCUUGUCGAGCUGCUUCCAGCCACGCUGCCGCGUGAGAGCCACGGCCCCCUGCGGCUGCUGGCUGUUGCGCAGGGCAGCAAGCCCUUUCCACACAGCAUCCCACGCGAAGUCCUCCUUGUGGAGCAAGAGUUGUAACUGAUGUCUCAAACUGCCUUGGUGAAGGCGAGAGAGCCUGUGGUGGACUGAGGGAAUGUAUGCUGUACCCUGAGAAGGAAGCCCACUGAACAGAGAGAGGACUCUUUCUAGAAGCUGAGGUGACAUCUUUCCUCCCAAACCAUACAAGCAAGCAUUGCAAUGGAAGGUAGGAUGGCG